rfam:Hordeum vulgare subsp. vulgare, WGS project CAJW01000000 data, contig: morex_contig_45606
GUGCUACUCCCUCCGUCCCAAAAUUCUUGUCUUAGGUUUGUCUAGACAUGGAUGUAUCUCCAGACAAACCUAAGACAAGAAUUUUGGGACGGAGGGAGUAAUAU